rnacentral:lncRNA from 1 species
UGUUAGUUAGCAUGAAAGGUUCGGAUCAUGUGAUCACGACCUGACAGCUUGCAUGCAUGUAGUUGUUGAGGUUAGUUUGGAUUAGGUUAGUCUAUCCAUGCGGAUCAGGUUAGCCUUUCCUCCACAUGCGAUAACAGAUGUUUGUUAGAGUUUGUUUUCUGUUUUCUGUUACUGCAUGCAGUCGUUUCAUCAAUCUCGGCUUCGGUUGUUCUCAGCUGCGCCGAACUCUGUAUCGCCACGAUGGGGGCUGUUCCCAUCACAUAUAUAUUAACACGAAGGCGACGCACAGGAUUAGUGCGAUCGUUUCCACCCAAACUAAUUCACAUGGUAUCAGAGCGUUGAUCAAUUCCCUAAGAGAUCAAUACUCAUGGCCUUGUCGUCCAGUACGGCUGCCACAAAUCCGUUCCAAGGCCACCCAAUCUCAGAGAAGCUUGGGAGGGCAAAUCAUGCGCUCUGGAAGGUGCAAGUAAGCGCCGCAGUCAGAGGAGCGCGGCUUCAGGGGCAUCUCACCGGCGCAACCAAGCGGCCGCCGGCAGAGAUCGCUGUCACAAAAGAUGGCGCCACCAAGAAGGAGCCGAACCCAGCCCAUGAAGACUGGGAAGCCACCGACCAGCAAGUUCUGGGGUACCUUCUCUCGUCGCUGACAAGAGAGGUGCUGAUGCAGGUCGCUACAUGCGACACCGCGGCUGAAGUGUGGAGCGCCAUUGAGCAGAUGUACUCCACCCACACACGAGCAAGAGCGAUUAACACUCGGUUUGCUCUCACCAAUACAAAGAAAGGUAACAUGUCAACUCCUGAGUAUUUUGCAAAAAUGAAAUCCUUAGGAGAUGAGAUGGCUACUGCCGGAGGUCGCCCAAUCGAUGAAGAGGAGCUGAUUCAGUAUAUCAUCACCGGCCUUGGCGAGGGCUACAGCGAGGUGGUGUCGGCUGUCUACGCUCGGGUUGAACCAAUCUCUGUGAGUGAUCUGUACUCUCAAGUGUUGAACUUUGAAGCUCGCCAAGCCAUCUACCGCGGCGCACAGGAGGUCACCGUCAAUGUUGUCAACCGUGGAGGCUUCAGCCACGGGGGGCGUGGCAACAGCAAUGGUGGCCAAGGAGGUUCGCGCGGCGGCGGCGACGGCGGCGGCCAUGGUCGCGGCAACGGAGGAGGUGGCCGUGGUCGAGGCCGCACACCAGGAGGCGUUGAUAAAAGACCAAUUUGCCAAGUGUGUUUCAAACGGGGGCACACGGCAGCAGAUUGUUGGUAUAGGUACGACGAGGAUUACGUUCCUGACGCCAAGCAUGUUGCAGCUGCAGCGGUUAACUCCUAUGGAAUUGACACAAAUUGGUACAUCGACACUGGUGCUACAGAUCAUGUCACGGGAGAGCUAGACAAGCUCACUAUGAAGGAAAAAUACAACGGUGGUGAACAAAUCCACACAGCAAGUGGUGCAGGUAUGGAUAUUAGUCAUAUUGGUCAUGCUAUUGUUCAUAAUCCCAAUAGUCGUAAUAUCCACCUUAGAAAUGUUUUAUAUGUGCCUCAAGCUAAGAAAAAUCUUGUUUCAGUACAUCGCUUAGUUAAUGAUAACUCUGCCUUUCUUGAAUUACAUCGUGAUUAUUUCUUUCUUAAGGAUCAAAUCACCAGGAAAACUCUCCUUAAGGGAAGAUCAUGGCGCAGGCUAUAUCCUCUACCACACUCCUCCUUGAAGCAAGCCUACAGUGCCAUCAAACUAUCUUUGGACCGGUGGCAUCAUCGUCUUGGUCAUCCUUCCAUUACCACGGUUAAACAAGUAGUCAAUAAGUUUAGCCUCCCCUGUUCAGAUUUGUCUAGUGAGUCAGUUUGUAAUGCUUGUCAACAAGCAAAGAGUCAUCAAUUACCUUUUCCUAUUUCUUCCAGUGUUUCCAAACACCCCUUAGAACUUGUCUUUUCUGAUGUUUGGGGACCUGCUCCAGAGUCUGUUGGGAGAAAAAAAUAUUAUGUUAGUUUUAUUGAUGAUUUUAGUAAAUUUACUUGGAUUUAUCUCAUACAACAUAAGUCUCAAGUGUUUGACAAGUUUCAGGAGUUUCAAGUCAUGGUAGAACGUCAAUUUGAUAGAAAAAUUCUAGCCAUGCAAACUGACUGGGGAGGCGAAUAUCAAUCCCUUAACUCUUUUUUUUCUAAGAUUGGCAUUGUUCAUCAUGUUUCCUGUCCUCAUACUCACCAACAGAAUGGGUCGGCUGAGAGAAAACAUCGUCAUAUAGUUGAGAUCGGUUUAUCUCUCCUAUCUCAUGCAUUCAUGCCAUUAAAGUUUUGGGAUGAAGCCUUUCAGGCGGCAACUUAUCUUAUUAACCGUGUGCCUAGCAGAGUUAUCCAUAAUAUUAGUCCCCUUGAAAAACUGUUCAAACAAAAACCCGAUUACUCCUCCUUGAGAAUUUUUGGUUGUGCCUGUUGGCCUAAUCUUCGCCCCUACAAUAACCACAAAUUACAAUUUCGCUCUAAGCAUUGUGUUUUUCUUGGGUUUAGCACUAUGCAUAAAGGGUUCAAGUGUCUUGAGGUCUCUACAGGACGCAUCUAUAUUUCUCGCGAUGUUGUCUUUGAUGAGAAUAUUUUUCCCUUCACUGAACUUCAUGCCAAUGCUGGUGCCCGUCUUCGUUCUGAGAUUGAUAUUCUCACUCCUGAACUGCUAGGACCCAUACGGUCUGUUGGGAAUGAACAAUGCAUGCAUCCAGUGACUAAUCCAUUAUCUGCUGAUGUUUCUGCUGCUUUAUCUAAUCGUGCUAAUGAGCCACAUAGAGAUGGUGCAGUACAUCCCGCUGAUGCAGAAGAUCCGCCGGCGACGCCUCCUCUGGAUGCCAGUUCUGGUCCAGAACCAGACCGUGUCGUCCACCACUCCCCUGCGGCCACGUCAUCAGGCCGUCAUCCGGGUCCCACACCUGGUUCUGUGCCACGGGGGGCAGCAUCAUCGCUAGCAGAGGAGACAGCAGAAGACUCAGUGUCGCAGGCGGUGCAGGAGCAGGAGUCGCAGGUGGUGCAGGAGCAGGAGCAGUCCUCACCAGCGCAGGAACAUGCACAGGCUGUCACAGAUGAGACUAAUACAUUACAGCAUGCAGAUGUGACUGACACAGGUUCAGAGGCACCGGCAGGACCGCGCACCAGGUUGCAAAGUGGAGUUCGCAAGGAAAAGGUAUAUACUGAUGGUACUAUUAAAUAUAAGCAUUCUUGGUUUACUGCUUCAGGUGAACCUACAAAUGAUUUAGAAGCCUUAAAGGAUAAAAAUUGGAAACUAGCAAUGGAUUCAGAGUAUGAUGCUUUAGUUAAGAAUAAAACUUGGCAUCUUGUUCCUCCUCAGAGAGGGAGAAAUAUUAUUGGCUGUAAGUGGGUGUAUAAAAUUAAAAGGAAAGCUGAUGGUACCCUAGAUAGGUAUAAGGCAAGGUUAGUAGCAAAAGGAUUUAAACAGAGGUAUGGUAUUGAUUAUGAAGAUACCUUUAGCCCUGUUGUUAAAGCUGCCACUAUCAGAAUAAUAUUGUCUUUAGCAGUGUCUAAAGGUUGGAGUCUUAGACAGCUAGAUGUUCAAAAUGCCUUUCUGCAUGGGUACCUAGAAGAAGAAGUUUAUAUGCUACAGCCACCAGGUUUUGAGGAUCCUACUAAGCCACAUCAUGUGUGUAAACUUGAUAAAGCUCUGUAUGGGUUAAAACAGGCACCUAGAGCCUGGUUCUCUAGACUAAGUAAAAAGUUGAUGGACCUUGGUUUUAAAGGAUCAAAAGCUGAUACGUCUCUGUUCUUUCUGAAUAAAGGUGAUAUAACUAUGUUUGUUCUGGUAUAUGUUGAUGAUAUCAUUGUAGCCAGCUCUUCAGAGAGGGCCACUGCAGCUUUACUUCAGGAUCUAAAAGGGGAAUUUGCACUCAAAGAUCUUGGUGAGCUGCAUUAUUUUCUCGGAAUAGAGGUAAGCAAGGUUCAGAAUGGCAUUGUACUGAAUCAAGACAAGUAUGCCAAUGAUUUAUUGAAGAAAGUGGGCAUGAUAGAUUGUAAACCUGCUAAUACACCUCUUUCAGUAAGUGAGAAACUCUCUCUUCAUGAAGGCUCAUUGUUAGGGCCUGAAGAUGCAAGUCACUAUCGCAGUGUUGUUGGUGCUUUGCAAUAUUUGACUCUUACUAGACCUGACAUAGCUUUCUCUGUUAAUAAAGUUUGCCAAUACUUGCAUGCUCCCACAACUGUACAUUGGAUUGCUGUGAAAAGGAUUCUUAGGUACUUAAAGCAAUGCACUCGGUUAGGACUUGAAAUUCAUAAGUCAGGAUCUACUUUAGUUAGUGGCUUCUCUGAUGCAGACUGGGCAGGCUGUUUAGAUGACAGAAGAUCAACAGGAGGAUUUGCAAUAUUUCUGGGUUCAAAUCUGGUCUCCUGGAAUGCUAGAAAACAAGCCACUGUGUCUAGAUCUAGCACAGAGUCAGAAUACAAAGCUAUUGCCAAUGCCACUGCAGAAAUAAUGUGGGUGCAGACUUUACUUGCAGAGUUAGAGAUUAAAAGUCCAAAAGCUGCUAAAAUAUGGUGUGAUAAUCUUGGAGCUAAGUAUUUGUCAGCUAAUCCAGUGUUUCAUGCCAGAACGAAACACAUAGAAGUUGACUAUCACUUUGUCAGAGAACGGGUAAGUCAGAAACUUCUAGAAAUUGAUUUUGUUUCCACUAAUGAUCAAGUUGCAGAUGGAUUCACUAAACCUCUGUCAGUAAGACUCCUGGAGAAUUUCAAAAGCAAUCUGAACCUGGUUAGGUCCGGAUUGAGAGAGGGUGUUAGUUAGCAAGAAAGGUUCGGAUCAUGUGAUCACGACCUGACAGCUUGCAUGCAUGUAGUUGUUGAGGUUAGUUUGGAUUAGGUUAGUCUAUCCAUGCGGAUCAGGUUAGCCUUUCCUCCACAUGCGAUAACAGAUGUUUGUUAGAGUUUGUUUUCUGUUUUCUGUUACUGCAUGCAGUCGUUUCAUCAAUCUCGGCUUCGGUUGUUCUCAGCUGCGCCGAACUCUGUAUCGCCACGAUGGGGGCUGUUCCCAUCACAUAUAUAUUAACACGAAGGCGACGCACAGGAUUAGUGCGAUCGUUUCCACCCAAA